GGAGGAUCAUUAUCGUAGGGCUUCGGCCCUGUCGAGAUAGAACCCUUGCCUUUUUGAGUACCUUUCGUUUCCUCGGCAGGCUCGCCUGCCAAUGGGGACCACAAAAAACACUUUGCAGUACCUGUAACAGUCUGAACAAACAAACAAAAAUUAAAACUUUCAACAACGGAUCUCUUGGUUCUGGCAUCGAUGAAGAACGCAGCGAAAUGCGAUAAGUAGUGUGAAUUGCAGAACUCAGUGAAUCAUCGAAUCUUUGAACGCACAUUGCGCCCUUUGGUAUUCCUUAGGGCAUGCCUGUUCGAGCGUCAUUUAAACCUUCAAGCUAAGCUUGGUGUUGGGUGACUGUCCGCUUCACGGCGGACUCGCCUCAAAAUUAUUGGCGGCCGGUACAUUGGCUUCGAGCGCAGCAGAAACGCGAACUCGGGCCCGUCGUAUUGGCUCCCAGAAGCUAUCUUCACAAUUUUGACCUCGGAUCAGGUAGGGAUACCCGCUGAACUUAAGCAUAUCAAUAAGCGGAGGA
rnacentral:rRNA from 1 species